rfam:Catenibacterium sp. CAG:290 genomic scaffold, scf77
AGUUGUGCGAUAAAAAGCUUACUGUGAGGAGUCAGCUGAGGUCAUAGUAGGUGUCUCACCAACACCAAAGGAC